GACGUAGGGUGCGAGCGUUGUCCGGAUUUAUUGGGCGUAAAGAGCUUGUAGGCGGUCUGUCGCGUCUGCUGUGAAAAUCCGGGGCUCAACCCCGGACUUGCAGUGGGGUACGGGCAGACUAGAGUGUGGUAGGGGGAGACUGGAAUUCCUGGUGUAGCGGUGAAAUGCGCAGAUAUCAGGAGGAACACCGAUGGCGAAGGCAGGUCUCUGGGCCACUACUGACGCUGAGAAGCGAAAGCAUGGGGGAGCGAACAGG
rnacentral:rRNA from 1 species